rnacentral:rRNA from 1 species
UACGGAGGGUGCAAGCGUUAAUCGGAAUUACUGGGCGUAAAGCGCGUGUAGGCGGCCCUGUAAGUCGGGUGUGAAAUCCCACGGCUCAACCGUGGAAGUGCACUCGAAACUACAGGGCUAGAGUCCUGGAGAGGAAGGUGGAAUGCUUGGUGUAGAGGUGAAAUGCGCAGAUAUCAGGAAGAACACCAAUGGCGAAAGCAGUUUUCUGGGACGGUACUGACGCUGAGACGCGAAAGCGUGGGGAGCGAACAGG